rnacentral:rRNA from 1 species
GUGCCAGCAGCCGCGGUAAUACGUAGGGGGCAAGCGUUGUCCGGAAUUAUUGGGCGUAAAGCGCGCGCAGGCGGCUUUUUAAGUCUGGUGUUUAAACCUAGGGCUCAACCCUGGGACGCAUCGGAAACUGGGAGGCUUGAGUGUAGGAGAGGAAAGUGGAAUUCCACGUGUAGCGGUGAAAUGCGUAGAGAUGUGGAGGAACACCAGUGGCGAAGGCGACUUUCUGGCCUAUAACUGACGCUGAGGCGCGAAAGCGUGGGGAGCAAACAGGAUUAGAUACCCGGGUAGUCC